rnacentral:lncRNA from 1 species
AUUGAUAGUGGCCUUAGAAUGUGCUAUUUGUUACACAGAUGACAUUGUGAAUCAAAUAGCAACAUGUCAUUUUUUUGCAUGUGCUCUAGACAGGCUUUGUCAAUAGAUAGUCACAUCAUGUUUUAUAUUCUUUUGUGUCCAUGUUGGCAUUUUGCCACAAUGCCACAGCAGCACUAGAAUGCACAUCUGAAAUCUCGUUAAGUUAAGGUACUGUAUUGGGUUUAUGCAGUCUGAAUGCAUCCCGACCAAACUUCACCACCACCGAUGUUGAUGCGGU